rnacentral:tRNA from 1 species
AUUAAUGAACUUGAAUAAGUGUAUAUUUUGAAAAUAUAAAAAAGAGUUUUAAUCUCUAUUAAUUU